GAUAAUGGUUGGAUACGACGGAUAAUGCCGAAUAUGAACUCCUUUCGCAUGUUUGGAGGUGGAAAGCUCCGGCGGAGAAGGAUGAGCUCGCGGCCUAUCAGCUUGUUGGUGAGGUAAUGGCUCACCAAGGCAUUGACGGGUAGCCGGCCUGAGAGGGUGACCGGCCACACUGGGACUGAGACACGGCCCAGACUCCUACGGGAGGCAGCAGUGGGGAAUAUUGGACAAURGGCGAAANGCCKRAKCCAGCAACGCCGCGNUGAGGGAUGACGGCCUUCGGGUUGUAAACCUCUUUCAGCAGGGACGAAGCGAAAGUGACGGUACCUGCAGAAGAAGGACCGGCCAACUACGUGCCAGCAGCCGCGGUAAUACGUAGGGUCCGAGCGUUGUCCGGAAUUAUUGGGCGUAAAGGGCUCGUAGGCGGUUUGUCGCGUCGGNAGUGAAAACUCAGGGCUCAACCCUGAGCGUGCUUCCGAUACGGGCAGACUAGAGGUAUGCAGGGGAGAACGGAAUUCCUGGUGUAGCGGUGGAAUGCGCAGAUAUCAGGAGGAACACCGGUGGCGAAGGCGGUUCUCUGGGCAUUACCUGACGCUGAGGAGCGAAAGCAUGGGGAGCGAACAGGAUUAGAUACCCUGGUAGUCCAUGCCGUAAACGUUGGGCGCUAGGUGUGGGGACCUUCCACGGUCUCCGUGCCGCAGCUAACGCAUUAAGCGCCCCGCCUGGGGAGUACGGCCGCAAGGCUAAAACUCAAAGGAAUUGACGGGGGCCCGCACAAGCGGCGGAGCAUGCUGAUUAAUUCGAUGCAACGCGAAGAACCUUACCUGGGUUUGACAUAUACCGGAAAGCUGCAGAGAUGUAGCCCCCUUUUGGUCGGUAUACAGGUGGUGCAUGGCGUCGUCAGCUCGUGUCGUGAGAUGUUGGGUUAAGUCCCGCAACGAGCGCAACCCUCGUCCUAUGUUGCCAGCACGUCAUGGUGGGGACUCAUAGGAGACUGCCGGGGUCAACUCGGAGGAAGGUGGGGAUGACGUCAAGUCUUCAUGCCCCUUAUGUCCAGGGCUUCAAGCAUGCUACAAUGGCCGGUACAAAGGGCUGCGAAACCGCAAGGUGGAGCGAAUCCCAAAAAGCCGGUCUCAGUUCGGAUUGGGGUCUGCAACUCGACCCCAUGAAGUCGGAGUCGCUGGUAAUCGCAGAUCAGCAACGGUGCGGUGAAUACGUUCCCGGGCCUAUACACACCGCCCUCCAUAUCUUGAAACUCGGCAACACCAGAGU
rnacentral:rRNA from 1 species